GUGUUCACUUCGGCAGCACAUAUGCUAAAAUCAGAAUGUUACAGAGAAGAUUAGCAUGGCCACUGCGCAAGGAUGAUAUGCAAAUUUGUGAAGCAUUCCAUAUUUUU